rnacentral:rRNA from 1 species
GGGUUGUGAGGUUAAGCGACUAAGCGUACACGGUGGAUGCCCUGGCAGUCAGAGGCGAUGAAGGACGUGCUAAUCUGCGAUAAGCGUCGGUAAGGUGAUAUGAACCGUUAUAACCGGCGAUUUCCGAAUGGGGAAACCCAGUGUGAUUCGUCACACUAUCAUUAACUGAAUCCAUAGGUUAAUGAGGCGAACCGGGGGAACUGAAACAUCUAAGUACCCCGAGGAAAAGAAAUCAACCGAGAUUCCCCCAGUAGCGGCGAGCGAACGGGGAGCAGCCCAGAGCCUGAAUCAGUGUGUGUGUUAGUGGAAGCGUCUGGAAAGGCGUGCGAUACAGGGUGACAGCCCCGUACACAAAAAUGCACAUAUUGUGAGCUCGAUGAGUAGGGCGGGACACGUGGUAUCCUGUCUGAAUAUGGGGGGACCAUCCUCCAAGGCUAAAUACUCCUGACUGACCGAUAGUGAACCAGUACCGUGAGGGAAAGGCGAAAAGAACCCCGGCGAGGGGAGUGAAAAAGAACCUGAAACCGUGUACGUACAAGCAGUGGGAGCACGCUUAGGCGUGUGACUGCGUACCUUUUGUAUAAUGGGUCAGCGACUUAUAUUCUGUAGCAAGGUUAACCGAAUAGGGGAGCCGAAGGGAAACCGAGUCUUAACUGGGCGUUAAGUUGCAGGGUAUAGACCCGAAACCCGGUGAUCUAGCCAUGGGCAGGUUGAAGGUUGGGUAACACUAACUGGAGGACCGAACCGACUAAUGUUGAAAAAUUAGCGGAUGACUUGUGGCUGGGGGUGAAAGGCCAAUCAAACCGGGAGAUAGCUGGUUCUCCCCGAAAGCUAUUUAGGUAGCGCCUCGUGAAUUCAUCUCCGGGGGUAGAGCACUGUUUCGGCAAGGGGGUCAUCCCGACUUACCAACCCGAUGCAAACUGCGAAUACCGGAGAAUGUUAUCACGGGAGACACACGGCGGGUGCUAACGUCCGUCGUGAAGAGGGAAACAACCCAGACCGCCAGCUAAGGUCCCAAAGUCAUGGUUAAGUGGGAAACGAUGUGGGAAGGCCCAGACAGCCAGGAUGUUGGCUUAGAAGCAGCCAUCAUUUAAAGAAAGCGUAAUAGCUCACUGGUCGAGUCGGCCUGCGCGGAAGAUGUAACGGGGCUAAACCAUGCACCGAAGCUGCGGCAGCGACACUGUGUGUUGUUGGGUAGGGGAGCGUUCUGUAAGCCUGCGAAGGUGUGCUGUGAGGCAUGCUGGAGGUAUCAGAAGUGCGAAUGCUGACAUAAGUAACGAUAAAGCGGGUGAAAAGCCCGCUCGCCGGAAGACCAAGGGUUCCUGUCCAACGUUAAUCGGGGCAGGGUGAGUCGACCCCUAAGGCGAGGCCGAAAGGCGUAGUCGAUGGGAAACAGGUUAAUAUUCCUGUACUUGGUGUUACUGCGAAGGGGGGACGGAGAAGGCUAUGUUGGCCGGGCGACGGUUGUCCCGGUUUAAGCGUGUAGGCUGGUUUUCCAGGCAAAUCCGGAAAAUCAAGGCUGAGGCGUGAUGACGAGGCACUACGGUGCUGAAGCAACAAAUGCCCUGCUUCCAGGAAAAGCCUCUAAGCAUCAGGUAACAUCAAAUCGUACCCCAAACCGACACAGGUGGUCAGGUAGAGAAUACCAAGGCGCUUGAGAGAACUCGGGUGAAGGAACUAGGCAAAAUGGUGCCGUAACUUCGGGAGAAGGCACGCUGAUAUGUAGGUGAAGUCCCUCGCGGAUGGAGCUGAAAUCAGUCGAAGAUACCAGCUGGCUGCAACUGUUUAUUAAAAACACAGCACUGUGCAAACACGAAAGUGGACGUAUACGGUGUGACGCCUGCCCGGUGCCGGAAGGUUAAUUGAUGGGGUCAGCGCAAGCGAAGCUCUUGAUCGAAGCCCCGGUAAACGGCGGCCGUAACUAUAACGGUCCUAAGGUAGCGAAAUUCCUUGUCGGGUAAGUUCCGACCUGCACGAAUGGCGUAAUGAUGGCCAGGCUGUCUCCACCCGAGACUCAGUGAAAUUGAACUCGCUGUGAAGAUGCAGUGUACCCGCGGCAAGACGGAAAGACCCCGUGAACCUUUACUAUAGCUUGACACUGAACAUUGAGCCUUGAUGUGUAGGAUAGGUGGGAGGCUUUGAAGUGUGGACGCCAGUCUGCAUGGAGCCGACCUUGAAAUACCACCCUUUAAUGUUUGAUGUUCUAACGUGGACCCGUGAUCCGGGUUGCGGACAGUGUCUGGUGGGUAGUUUGACUGGGGCGGUCUCCUCCUAAAGAGUAACGGAGGAGCACGAAGGUUGGCUAAUCCUGGUCGGACAUCAGGAGGUUAGUGCAAUGGCAUAAGCCAGCUUGACUGCGAGCGUGACGGCGCGAGCAGGUGCGAAAGCAGGUCAUAGUGAUCCGGUGGUUCUGAAUGGAAGGGCCAUCGCUCAACGGAUAAAAGGUACUCCGGGGAUAACAGGCUGAUACCGCCCAAGAGUUCAUAUCGACGGCGGUGUUUGGCACCUCGAUGUCGGCUCAUCACAUCCUGGGGCUGAAGUAGGUCCCAAGGGUAUGGCUGUUCGCCAUUUAAAGUGGUACGCGAGCUGGGUUUAGAACGUCGUGAGACAGUUCGGUCCCUAUCUGCCGUGGGCGCUGGAGAACUGAGGGGGGCUGCUCCUAGUACGAGAGGACCGGAGUGGACGCAUCACUGGUGUUCGGGUUGUCAUGCCAAUGGCACUGCCCGGUAGCUAAAUGCGGAAGAGAUAAGUGCUGAAAGCAUCUAAGCACGAAACUUGCCCCGAGAUGAGUUCUCCCUGACUCCUUGAGAGUCCUGAAGGAACGUUGAAGACGACGACGUUGAUAGGCCGGGUGUGUAAGCGCAGCGAUGCGUUGAGCUAACCGGUACUAAUGAACCGUGAGGCUUAACCUUACAACGCCGAAG